ensembl:lncRNA
UCACAUUCCUCUUUUCUGAUCUUUGUCUGACAGCAACAGGAAACAAGGAAUAGCAUUCACUUUUUGGGGGAGGAUUUGGUAGCUGAUGACUGGUCUUUGGAACUCGACUCAAAUUGUUGUCCACCUCUUGUCCUUUAAAAAACCACCCAUGCAAAUUUAACACUUAAGUCUCUGGAUCUGUUCUCUUUCUAAUUUAGGUCAGCUGUGAUUUGCCAUUUCUGGUGAAUAAAUAAACAGACUGAGAAUGUGGAUGGUGCCUACCUGCUCUGUGUCUGUUGCUGUGAGAGUGUAGCGUGCUUUGAAGUUUCCACCUGGGUGCAGGACUGCACACAAACUGCACUGGCUGUAGAGGGUGGAUUGGUUAAGGCGGUACAGGAGUAGUUCACCCAGAAAUGAAAAUUGUCAUUUACUCAACUCUUAUUCCCUUUUUUUUUUUGUAAUGAACAAAGACGAAAGCUUUCCAAGCUUCAAAAAUUUCACAAAAGCACAAUAAAAGUAUAAUUUAAAGCCGUCCA